AUUAUUAAUUAAUCUCAUUAAUUAAUACUAAUUAACCCUACACUAGGAUCUAAAUAUGAUACAACAGCAUGCAUUUAAAUUUGAAAUUCAAAUUUGAAUCAGUAAACCUUUUACAGUACUGUGUUCAGCACACAUCACCUUUUGCGGGUAGUCGAUCACCGCAAUCUGAUCACCAUCGGAGGGCUCUGAUCAUCAUGUCACAGCCACAUAAAUGUCUG
rnacentral:lncRNA from 1 species